GUUGGAUAAAGAAGCUGGUAAAGAGUACUUGGAUUAAAGAAGCUGAAUUGAGAAGAAUUGACCAAACCUCUACGCUGAAAAGAGAAGAAGGUAAACAAGGAGAUUUAUUCAAGAGCAUACUAGACCUAUGCUUACUAAAUUGGUAAAUGGA